rnacentral:rRNA from 1 species
GACGAACGCUGGCGGCGUGCUUAACACAUGCAAGUCGAACGGAAAGGCCCCUUUGGGGGUACUCGAGUGGCGAACGGGUGAGUAACACGUGAGUAACCUGCCCUUGACUUCGGGAUAACUUCAGGAAACUGGGGCUAAUACCGGAUAGGAAUCCUUGCUGCAUGGUGGGGGUUGGAAAGCUUCUGCGGUUUUGGAUGGACUCACGGCUUAUCAGCUUGUUGGUGGGGUAGUGGCUUACCAAGGCUUUGACGGGUAGCCGGCCUGAGAGGGCGACCGGCCACAUUGGGACUGAGAUACGGCCCAGACUCCUACGGGAGGCAGCAGUGGGGAAUAUUGCACAAUGGGCGGAAGCCUGAUGCAGCAACGCCGCGUGCGGGAUGACGGCCUUCGGGUUGUAAACCGCUUUCAGCAGGGGCGAAGCUUGUGGUGACGGUACCUGCAGAAGAAGCACCGGCUAACUACGU